GGAGUUGUGGCUCAGCGGUAGAGUGCAUGCCUAGCACAUGUGAGGCCCUGGGUUCGAUCCUCAGCACCA
rnacentral:tRNA from 1 species